UGUCACAGCCAUAUCACCCUGCAGCCCAAGACCGGUUACUCACUGAAGUUAAGCAGGGCUGAGCCUGGUCAGUACUUGGAUAGGAGACCACUAGGGAACACUAGGUUGCUGUUGGAA
rnacentral:rRNA from 1 species